rnacentral:rRNA from 1 species
UGGAGCAUGUGGUUAAUUCGAAGCAACGCGAAGAACCUUACCAGGUCUUGACAUCCCGAUGCUAUUCUAGAGAUAGAAAGUUACUUCGGUACAUCGGUGACAGGUGGUGCAUGGUUGUCGUCAGCUCGUGUCGUGAGAUGUUGGGUUAAGUCCCGCAACGAGCGCAACCCCUAUUGUUAGUUGCCAUCAUUCAGUUGGGCACUCUAGCGAGACUGCCGGUAAUAAACCGGAGGAAGGUGAGGAUGACGUCAAAUCAUCAUGCCCCUUAUGACCUGGGCUACACACGUGCUACAAUGGUUGGUACAACGAGUUGCGAGUCGGUGACGGCGAGCUAAUCUCUUAAAGCCAAUCUCAGUUCGGAUUGUAGGCUGCAACUCGCCUACAUGAAGUCGGAAUCGCUAGUAAUCGCGGAUCAGCACGCCGCGGUGAAUACGUUCCCGGGCCUU